rnacentral:rRNA from 1 species
UUGGAGGGCAAGUCUGGUGCCAGCAGCCGCGGUAAUUCCAGCUCCAAUAGCGUAUAUUAAAGUUGUUGCAGUUAAAAAGCUCGUAGUUGAAUUUCGGGAUCAAUGUUUCGGUCAUGCCGUUGGUAUGUACUGAUAUUAUUGGUUUCUCACCUUCUAAAGAACCGUAAUGCCAUUAAUUUGGUGUCACGGGGAAUUAGGACUGUUACCUUGAAAAAAUUAGAGUGUUUAAAGCAGGCUCACGCUUGAAUACAUUAGCAUGGAAUAAUGAAAUAGGACAUCCGAUUCUAUUUUGUUGGUUUCUAGGAUCGAUGUAAUGAUUAAUAGGGGUAGUUGGGGGCAUUAGUAUUCAAUUGUCAGAGGUGAAAUUCUUGGAUUUAUUGAAGACUAACUACUGCGAAAGCAUUUGCCAAGGAUGUUUUCAUUAAUCAAGAACGAAAGUUAGGGGAUCGAAGACGAUCAGAUACCGUCGUAGUCUUAACCAUAAACUAUGCCGACUAGGGAUCGGAUGAUGUUAAUUUUUUAAUGACUCAUUCGGCGCCUUACGGGAAAC